CCUACGGGUGGCAGCAGUGAGGAAUAUUGGUCAAUGGGCUUACGCCUGAACCAGCCAAGUCGCGUGAGGGAAGACUGCCCUAUGGGUUGUAAACCUCUUUUGUCAGGGAGCAACGCCGGCUACGUGUAGCCGGACUGAGAGUACCUGAAGAAAAAGCAUCGGCUAACUCCGUGCCACCAGCCGCGGUAUCACGGAGGAUGCGACCUUUAGCGGGAUUGAUUGGGGUAAAAGGUGUCGUAGGCGGAAUGCCAAGUCAGCGGUAAAAUCGCGGGGCUCAACCGCGCUCCGCCGUUGAAACUGGCGUUCUUGAGUGGGCGAGAAGUAUGCGGAAUGCGUGGUGUAGCGGUGAAAUGCGUAGAUAUCACGCAGAACUCCGAUUGCGAAGGCAGCAUACCGGCGCCCAACUGACGCUGAAGCACGAAAGCGUGGGUAUCGAACAGGAUUAGAUACCCCGGUAGUC
rnacentral:rRNA from 1 species